CAGUCGCCGCGGGAAUACGGAGGGUGCAAGCGUUAAUCGGAAUUACUGGGCGUAAAGCGCACGCAGGCGGUCUGUCAAGUCAGAUGUGAAAUCCCCGGGCUUAACCUGGGAACUGCAUUUGAAACUGGCAGGCUAGAGUCUUGUAGAGGGGGGUAGAAUUCCAGGUGUAGCGGUGAAAUGCGUAGAGAUCUGGAGGAAUACCGGUGGCGAAGGCGGCCCCCUGGACAAAGACUGACGCUCAGGUGCGAAAGCGUGGGGAGCAAACAGGAUUAGAUACCCCAGUAGUCCCUGUCUCUUAUAC
rnacentral:rRNA from 1 species